GUACACAAAAAUGCACAUGCUGUGAGCUCGAUGAGUAGGGCGGGACACGUGGUAUCCUGUCUGAAUAUGGGGGGACCAUCCUCCAAGGCUAAAUACUCCUGACUGACCGAUAGUGAACCAGUACCGUGAGGGAAAGGCGAAAAGAACCCCGGCGAGGGGAGUGAAAAAGAACCUGAAACCGUGUACGUACAAGCAGUGGGAGCACGCUUAGGCGUGUGACUGCGUACCUUUUGUAUAAUGGGUCAGCGACUUAUAUUCUGUAGCAAGGUUAACCGAAUAGGGGAGCCGAAGGGAAACCGAGUCUUAACUGGGCGUUAAGUUGCAGGGUAUAGACCCGAAACCCGGUGAUCUAGCCAUGGGCAGGUUGAAGGUUGGGUAACACUAACUGGAGGACCGAACCGACUAAUGUUGAAAAAUUAGCGGAUGACUUGUGGCUGGGGGUGAAAGGCCAAUCAAACCGGGAGAUAGCUGGUUCUCCCCGAAAGCUAUUUAGGUAGCGCCUCGUGAAUUCAUCUCCGGGGGUAGAGCACUGUUUCGGCAAGGGGGUCAUCCCGACUUACCAACCCGAUGCAAACUGCGAAUACCGGAGAAUGUUAUCACGGGAGACACACGGCGGGUGCUAACGUCCGUCGUGAAGAGGGAAACAACCCAGACCGCCAGCUAAGGUCCCAAAGUCAUGGUUAAGUGGGAAACGAUGUGGGAAGGCCCAGACAGCCAGGAUGUUGGCUUAGAAGCAGCCAUCAUUUAAAGAAAGCGUAAUAGCUCACUGGUCGAGUCGGCCUGCGCGGAAGAUGUAACGGGGCUAAACCAUGCACCGAAGCUGCGGCAGCGACGCUUAUGCGUUGUUGGGUAGGGGAGCGUUCUGUAAGCCUGUGAAGGUGUGCUGUGAGGCAUGCUGGAGGUAUCAGAAGUGCGAAUGCUGACAUAAGUAACGAUAAAGCGGGUGAAAAGCCCGCUCGCCGGAAGACCAAGGGUUC
rnacentral:rRNA from 1 species